rnacentral:tRNA from 1 species
GCCCCCAUAGUAUAAUCAAUU